rnacentral:lncRNA from 1 species
UUUUUCAGGUUUUCAUGUAUUGGGAUGCGCAUGUGACUGUCGUGUUACUGUCGUGCCACUGUCGUACGACUGUUGUGUAAUUAUGAUGCGAGUGGCGACUCUCAGCAAAAGCUCUUGAAACAUGCCAGGGUCCAUCCGCAUGAAUCCUACGAAAUCACUGGCAGAUUUCCGUUUCAACUCUUGCAUCAGUGUACUAUACUGCCCAAACA